rnacentral:rRNA from 1 species
AUUGAACGCUGGCGGCAUGCCUUACACAUGCAAGUCGAACGGCAGCACGGGUGCUUGCACCUGGUGGCGAGUGGCGAACGGGUGAGUAAUACAUCGGAACGUACCUUAUCGUGGGGGAUAACGCAGCGAAAGUUGCGCUAAUACCGCAUACGCCCUGAGGGGGAAAGCGGGGGACCGUAAGGCCUCGCGCGAUUAGAGCGGCCGAUGUCUGAUUAGCUUGUUGGUGAGGUAAAAGCUCACCAAGGCGAUGAUCAGUAGCUGGUCGGGGAGGACGAUCAGCGACACUGGGACGGAGACACGGCCCAGACUCCUACGGGAGGCAGCAGUGGGGAAUUUUGGACAAUGGGGGCAACCCUGAUCCAGCAAUGCCGCGUGAGUGAAGAAGGCCUUCGGGUUGUAAAGCUCUUUUGUCAGGGAAGAAACAGCAGCUCUAACACAGUCUGCGAAUGACGGUACCUGAAGAAUAAGCACCGGCUAACUACGUGCCAGCCGCCGCAGUAA